UCGGGAAUAUUGCGCAAUGGAGGAAACUCUGACGCAGUGACGCCGCGUGCAGGAAGAAGGUUUUCGGAUUGUAAACUGCUUUAGACAGGGAAGAAACAAGACAGUACCUGUAAAAUAAGCUCCGGCUAACUACGUGCCAGCAGCCGCGGUAAUACGUAGGGAGCAAGCGUUAUCCGGAUUUAUUGGGUGUAAAGGGUGCGUAGACGGGAAGACAAGUUGGUUGUGAAAUCCCUCGGCUUAACCGAGGAACUGCAACCAAAACUAUCUUUCUUGAGUGUUGGAGAGGAAAGUGGAAUUCCUAGUGUAGCGGUGAAAUGCGUAGAUAUUAGGAGGAACACCAGUGGCGAAGGCGACUUUCUGGACAAUAACUGACGUUGAUGCACGAAACGUGUGGGGGAGCAAAUCAGGAUUAGAUACC
rnacentral:rRNA from 1 species